rnacentral:rRNA from 1 species
GACGAACGCUGGCGGCGUGCUUAACACAUGCAAGUCGAACGGAAAGGCCCUGCUUUUGUGGGGUGCUCGAGUGGCGAACGGGUGAGUAACACGUGAGUAACCUGCCCUUGACUUUGGGAUAUCUUCAGGAAACUGGGGCUAAUACCGGAUAGGAGCUCCUGCUGCAUGGUGGGGGUUGGAAAGUUUCGGCGGUUGGGGAUGGACUCGCGGCUUAUCAGCUUGUUGGUGGGGUAGUGGCUUACCAAGGCUUUGACGGGUAGCCGGCCUGAGAGGGUGACCGGCCACAUUGGGACUGAGAUACGGCCCAGACUCCUACGGGAGGCAGCAGUGGGGAAUAUGGCACAAUGGGCGGAAGCCUGAUGCAGCAACGCUGCGUGCGGGAUGACGGCCUUCGGGUUGUAAACCGCUUUCGCCUGUGACGAAGCGUGAGUGACGGUACUGGGUAAAGAAGCACCGGCUAACUACGUG